AUAUGGCCACAUAUUAAAAUAAGAAAAUUAAGACACUUUUCAGUCCUUCUCAUGUGGUUGGGCAUAUUUCUCUGAAGACUGAAUCUUUCCCAUGAGUCGGCGAUUACCUAUCAAAUAGGUAUGAAAGUCCUUGCAGGUCAUGUGUUUGAAAUUGUAGCCUACUGGGUGCACAGAAUCCCCUUCAGCACUUGAGAUUUUUUGAGCUGUCACCGAAUCUGGGAAAAUCUUUCUUAGCAAACCAGAUGUGCAGUCCAUUGAUCUGUAGCUGUUGUGAUGCUUUAUUGUAUGAAAAGCAAGGGUACCCUCUGCAGCCGUAACAGAAGUGUCUGUUUUACUCACAAAAAAGUCUGUCACUUUACUCGAUGAGCUCUCUCCUCUUGCUGCAGUUUUGUGUUUUGCAGAGUGCACGUGAGCUUCCAAAUCGCUGCCACUUUUAUUUGCCACCGACACGUAAGUGCCUGCUCUGCAUGUCAUGCACUCAGCUUCCGAAGCAUCACGGCUGAGGCGAAAACAUGGGUAUUUUUUUU